UACGAAGGGGGCGAGCGUUGUUCGGAUUUACUGGGCGUAAAGGGCGCGCAGGCGGCUUAUUUUGUCAGGCGUGAAAGCCCCGGGCUUAACCUGGGAACUGCGUUUGAUACGGAUGGGCUAGAGUUCGGGAGAGGAGAGUGGGAUUCCCAGUGUAGAGGUGAAAUUCGUAGAUAUUGGGAAGAACACCGGUGGCGAAGGCGGCUCUCUGGACCGAGACUGACGCUGAGGCGCGAAAGCGUGGGGAGCAAACAGG
rnacentral:rRNA from 1 species